rnacentral:rRNA from 1 species
CCUACGGGAGGCAGCAGUGAGGAAUAUUGGUCAAUGGGCGGUAGCCUGAACCAGCCAAGUAGCGUGCAGGAUGACGGCCCUACGGGUUGUAAACUGCUUUUAUGCGGGGAUAAAGUGCGGGACGCGUCCCGUUUUGUAGGUACCGCAUGAAUAAGGACCGGCUAAUUCCGUGCCAGCAGCCGCGGUAAUACGGAAGGUCCUGGCGUUAUCCGGAUUUAUUGGGUUUAAAGGGAGCGCAGGCUGAGGCUUAAGCGUGACGUGAAAUGUAGAUGCUCAACAUCUGAACUGCGUCGCGAACUGGGUUUCUUGAGUGAGUACGACGUGGACGGAAUUCGUGGUGUAGCGGUGAAAUGCUUAGAUAUCACGAAGAACCCCGAUUGCGAAGGCAGUCCACGAGUCCUUUACUGACGCUAAUGCUCGAAGGUGCGGGUAUCGAACAGGAUUAGAUACCCUGGUAGUCCGCACGGUAAACGAUGGAUGCCCGCUGUAUGCGAUAUACUGUAUGCGGCCAAGCGAAAGCGUUAAGCAUCCCACCUGGGGAGUACGCCGGCAACGGUGAAACUCAAAGGAAUUGACGG